GUGUUUCAGAUAACAGGAGUAAGAAGAAGAGCAGGGAUGAGACAACAGAAACUCCUGAAUAUCUGCAUCUAUAGAAAGAAAAAAGCUCUCUAGCAGUAAUGAGGAGCUUAAUUAACUUAUUUUAAAAAAUGAGCAACCACAGAGGACACAUUGGUGGCCUACUAGAAAAAUCUACUCUAACCUGAAAGAAAACAGAAAUACCACACCUAAGUUCAACAGUACUUCAGAAAAAGGUGAAAUAAUCAGAGAGGAAAGUGAAAUUGUCCUUUUACAUUCUUCCUUCACAAAUGAAUACUACAGACUGCUGACAAAUAUACUGAGAAAUACUGGACCAGGCACUGACUCCUGAGGGAGGAGGUCUAACACUCAGAGUAAAUGGCGAGUUUAAAGCAGUAAAUGCUGUUUUAAAAGUAAGAGACUGUCAUGAGCACACAUAAGCCUAGCACCUACACCUCCAGCAGAAGGGUACAGAAAUAAAUAAAUCCUCAAAGAGGUGUGAGUUAUGGUCUUCUUGGUGUUAUCGCCACAUAUUUAGUUCACAUAGAAGCAAAACCACAGAACAUCUGUAGAGGCAGUCUACGGAUAGAAGACUUUGAGAGCUGUCUGGCAAAGUCAGGAAAAAGUUUUUCAGCCCGAGACGGUGACUGAGCCCUGGAACAAGUUACCCGGGAAGUUCCAAGCCCAACAGAGUUCAAGGAGCAUUUGGACAAUACUCUCAGGGACAUGGUGUGACUCUUGGAGUGUUCUGUUCAGGGCCAGGAAUUGAACUCAAUGAUCAUGAUGGGUCCCCUCCAACUGAGAAUAUGUUAUGAAUCUAUGAUUCUAAGAUAGGAAUCAGAUUUUGGCUCCAGUUGAAAAAAAAACAAAACAAAACUGAUGCAAAAAAGUGUAUAUGAAACAAUAAUCGGAUUUCAUAAUUCUUUGAAAUAAAGGCAAAAAUGAAUUAUGAUUAAGAUUAAUGACUGUGGAAAUUCUCUACAGCUUCUUCCUGAGGUCAGAGGAAAUGAAACAAUAUUAAAGUCAGUUUCUUGGGGGUUUUAAUGUGUCGACUGAACAAAGCACAUUCAGGUGUUUUAUGUCUAAUAUAAAUAAAAAAAUAAAUAUAUGUAAAUGCAAUCAGCUGUCAUGAAUCCUGUUAAAAACAGUGAAGCAUUUUUGAGCUGUAUGAAUUAAGAACUUAAAACUGCAAAAAUAUCAAUCUCUGAUGUCUUCUUAUACUAUUGAUCAUUAGCAUUGUAUUUACACCAGUUUUUGUGUCUCUUUUUCUACCAACAUUCACAAGACACAUAAAUAUGUAAUUAAAUACUUGAGUCUUACACCAGGGUUUCUGUUAGGGAGGGUUCUUGCAGGUGGGUGGACGUCUCACAUGGAGUCUAGGGAUUCUCAUUUCUCUUGAUUUUGCUAAUCUCAAGUGUAGAAUCUUAGAUCAAAGCCUAACUUGAGCCACUGAGACCAUUAUUUUUUUCUGUGGCCAGGGGAAUUAAAUGUUACACAGUCCAUUCUCAGGCCUAGGUUUCCUGGCUGACAAAUAAGUACUUGUUUUACUUUCCCCCUGAGUCAAAGAGCUAAAACCAAUCUAGUUUCUGAGAUGAGGGAAUUAGGAACUCCAAACAGACAGAACAAUACAGAUGCACACAGAAAGACCUUCUUAAGUGAAACUCCUGAGCGUGCGUUGGGACAGGCAAUUCUACCUGUUUCACUGAUUCUUAUAAGCAAUCAGCUAUUUUAGAAUUGAAAAUUAACCAUCCUUUAACAACCAGCUUUUUAUAUUUUAAUAUGUUUACUAGAACACCUCUGUACUUUCGUAAGCAUUUUAUUUUAUAUACUAGGCACUUCAAACAACUUGGGAUGUUGCAGUUAGGGUUACUACAGAUGCAACAAAAGUCAGUAAAGCAGAAGUGUCUGGUGCUCGUAUAACCAACCAGAGAGCUUCUCAUGUGGAAGCAAAUGCCUGCGGAACUUAAUCAUCUUACUUCUGUGUCCUGGUUUCACCAUACUGCAAAGAUCAUUGUCCUUCAUCAGCAAACCAAGAUACACAAGCUGCCAGGCAGUCCAAGGAACCAGUUGCAUCAAAACUGUAUAUGUGCAAAAGGUGACCUUGACCAAUCUGUCGCUUUGAAAUAUGCAGUGCCAUGGAAAAUUUAGGUGCACAUGCAGAGAAAUGUCAAAGAUUAAUUACAUUUUAUUAAUGUAUAGAUCAUCACUUGUUGUCUCUGCUUUUCUUUCUCCCUACCCAUGUAUACGAACACAAAUUUGGGCACAGAUGAUGGAGAAAGCAUGUGAAAGCCUGGUAUCUUAGAGAGGAACACCCUGACCCAACUUUUUCCUCCCAUAAAAGUUUUCUUUGAAGUCUCUGAAGGAUAAUAUCUGUUUAAGCAGUGCUGGUCGUGCAGGAUGUGUUCUGAGGUGAAAGGAUCUUUUAGAGAGGGCAGAUAGCACAGAGGCCAUCAGCUGGUCAUACAUAUCCAUGAGCAAUUAUACUGCACUCUAUGCAGUAAACAGUAGACAUGCCAAACUUAAAGAAUAUCCCUCCAAAACUACAAAACAAUAUAUUCCUAUGGAAAUCAAAUAGCAACAAAUACUUACAUUUCAAUAAUUGAAAACCAUUUGAUGUUUUUAUGUAAUCUUGCACUUUUAAAAUAAGACAAUAAUUUACCUUUUUUUUUUAAAUUGUUGUUCUUGCCUGCAUAUAUUGUGGUUUAUUUCAAUUAAAUGCAGUUUUUCAGAUUCUCAAUAAGUACAAUUCCCCUAGAAACAAUAUUUUUUCCUCGUUUACUGUCUAGCAACUCCUCUGAUAGUCUAGUUCUGAAAAAAGAAAACAUCAGUCAUGGAUUUUCAUACUGAUAUUUUCUAGGCAAGAAGAAAAGGCUUCUGUAUUUCACUGAACUGAACUCUAAGUGUACUGUGGAGUUCUAAUCUAAGGUGUGAUGGACAACACAUGUUUAUAAAAGAAAGUGAGACUGCAGUCAAGACACAGCGAUGAACAGCCUUACCACUGUGGCCCUAGAGCUCCAGACCUUACAUACUAGUGACAUUUCAUCUGCCAAUAAAUAGAUGAAUUACUUCCAAAGAAAAUAAUUUAAAAAAAGAACCAAAAAAACCACCAAAAAAAUCCAGCCAAGCCACAAAACAGGCUUUGAGAUAGUUUUGCAUCUGUAACAGCAUUGGAGUAAUGUCCCAGGACAAAGACAAUGAUGUUGCUAGAAAAUCUUUUCAAAACUGAAAAUUAAUGCAAAAAUUGUCUCCUCAUCUGACGCUUAUUACUGGAAUAAAAAAAUAUCCUCAGAAAAUUUCUGGCUUAAAAUAACAUAUUAAAUAAUGACAGAAUAUUAAUCUGGAAAAUAAAUGAUCAUUUAUUUAAGAAAAAUCUAUCUCAAAUUACUAUUUCAAUUUUUUCCUGAAUAAACCCUAAUUUUAGCAAUUCUUUGUACACAACACACUGAAGUUCCACAGCAGAGUUGCUCUACUUCAGUAGUGGGCAGAUCAGUCUUUUACCUCCAUUGUAUAUAUUGGUUUGUGAUCCUGUUGGGCUCUUUAGAAACAAAAAUAAAUUAUGGUCUUUUAAGAGAUCACUGGAAAUCCAGUGGUUCCCCCUACACACUUGUGCUCUCACUAUAUAAUGUGUAUCUAUUCUCCCUAAUAAAGUUAUGUUAUUUUAUUUACCUGCUCUUCUCCCUCUGUAAUUGUACUCAUCAGAUAUAUUUAAUUGAUGUCACUUCUCAGGGGACUUUGUCACUGAUGAUGACAUACAUUUUCUUGGCCAAUAAAAUGCCAAACCAUAUAUUUGACAUUUUUUUCUGAAAACAAAAUACAACAUAAACAGUCUGACUUUAGUACUUAGAUUUCAAUAAGUUUUUCAAGAAGGAAAUGAGCAAAACAUGAAAGCUGUAGAUAAUGUGAAUUUGAUGUACUGAUAUAGAAAUAAAUGAUCUGGGACACUUU